rnacentral:rRNA from 1 species
AACGUAGGAGACAAACGUUAUCCGGAGUUACUGGGCGUAAAGGGCGUGUAGGUGGUAAUGUAAGUCUGGCGUGAAAUUUUUCGGCUUAACCGGGAAAGGUCGUCGGAGACUGCAUAACUAGAGGACGGUAGAAGCGUGUGGAAUUCCGGGUGUAGUGGUGAAAUGCGUAGAGAUCCGGAGGAACACCAGUGGCGAAGGCGACACGCUGGGCCGUACCUGACACUGAGGCGCGAUAGCAUGGGGAGCAAACAGG